rnacentral:lncRNA from 1 species
ACUUGUGCUGUGACUUAUGACAGAGCAUGUAAGGUUUCUUCUGAGAAUCAGUGUUUUCCUGGAGGAAGAAAUGAGAAAAUAUCAACCACACACACUCAGGACUGAAAAACUCCAAACCUUAAAGCCACAGAAGGUCCUGAGACUGGAGUUACAGAUGGUUGAGAAGCACCUUAUAAAUGGUAGGAAUUGAACAUACGUCAUCUGGAGAAGCAGCCAGUGCUCUUCAUCACUGAGCCAGCACUCCAGUCCUUGAUGCUACUAUGAUGCCACCAUCAUAAAAUUAAUAUCUUCUCUAAUGGAUAGUAAAAUGAAUCCAUGAAUUUAUCUGCAUGAUAAAAACUCAGCAUGAAAUCAAAUAGUUCCCUCUGUAAUGAUUACAUAUGACCAUACCAGAGCAUUGAGUCUGUGCUUAUUACAUAACCACGCCUGAGUAGGACAGCUGACCUUCAAACACAAAUACGAUGAAAGCUGAACAAAUCAGAUUAAUUUGCUUUCUCCAAGUUGGAAGUCUUACUUCACAUAUUUUUCUUAAAAUGAUUCAUUUUCAACCACGAUGUUUCAUGAUCUGCCUCAGGCUCUUAUGUGCACAGGACAUACAUCAGAUAUAAUGGACACUGAAGAAGAGUUAAUGAGCUCAGAGAAAAACAUUAAACCGGUUACACUCUAUGGACGUUCUGAUUUCAAGAUAUGAGGAACGAUUAUUGAAAGCACUGUAGUUAGAAAUAUUAAGGCUUAUACUAAACAUUUAAACAUAUUUUUAAGGGUACAAUGUGUAUAAAAUGCUGAUUUUCCUUAUUAUAGCUUAUAUGAUCUCAUGGAAUAUCACUGUUGUGAAUCACUUGAAAACUCAAAGCAAGUGGGUGAUGUGAUGUGCCCAUCAUAAUGUCUGUAUGUUUGUAAAACAAUAAACAGCAGCAGCAUUUUUCUCACAUGCCACCUUGUUGAGUAAACUCGAUCUUUACAGAUGUCAGCAACAAUGAUAUGAGCACCACAUCUUUUCCUUCAGAGUGUUAGAAUCAUUUGACUUUUGAUUUAGAUACAUGAUGACGUUUUGUAGUUACAUUGUGUACUAGAGGCAGAGGAAAGUUGCGUGUGUGAGCAGGUUGUCUUCCAUACAUCUUGACACUUGUUUUUGGUGUCAGUAGAAAAGGAAUACAAAGGGCCAUCUUGAUAGUCAGUGUGUGGCUGAUGAGAAUCCUAGAUUCAGUGAUUCAUUCAUUCAUUCAAAAAUAUUAUUAAUUAUCUAGCAUGACAGACAAUGAUGCCCAAUAUCAAAUCGUUAACUGUCUCAAAUCUGCACUGCAGUUGUAAGGGCUAGAAGAAGAUGAUUAUGGAGUCAAAGGGAUCAUAAGGAGGGCUGGCCAGAUGACCCAAAGGGUAAGGGCUCUUCUGUUCAAGGUAACUGACCUGAGUUCUAUUUAUGCCACCAUGUUUAGAAGAAAGGGUCAGCUCUGGAAAGCCACCUUUUGAGCUCCAUACUUAUGUCACAUGCAUAUAAAUAAAUAAAUAAGUAAAUAAAUGUAAAAAGAAUCAAAUCCUCAAAAA